UCUCUGUUAGUAUAUCGGUUAGUACACGCGCCUGUCAUGUCAACUGGCCGCGCGAAAGCGGGGUUCGACUCCCCGACAGAGAG
rnacentral:tRNA from 1 species